CUGGCGGCGGGCUUAACACAUGCAAGUCGAAGAGAAGGUAGAAGCUUGCUUUUACUGGAGACUGGCGGACGGGUGAGUAACGCGUAGAUAACCUGCCUAUAGCUGGGGGAUAACACUGCGAAAGUGGUGCUAAUACCGCAUAAUGCAGCGGGGCCGCAUGGCCAUAGUUGUUAAAGGUUUCGGCCGGCUAUAGAUGGGUCUGCGUGCUAUUAGUUAGUUGGUAGGGUAACGGCCUACCAAGGCGAUGAUAGCUAGGGGGUCUGAGAGGAUGAUCCCCCACACUGGGACUGAGACACGGCCCAGACUCCUACGGGAGGCAGCAGUGAGGAAUCUUGCGCAAUGGGCGAAAGCCUGACGCAGCCACGCCGCGUGCCGGAUGAAGGCCCUAUGGGUUGUAAACGGCUUUUACUAGGGAAGAACGAGAGGGUUUUGAUCUUCUGUGACGGUACCUAGUGAAU
rnacentral:rRNA from 1 species